AACGAACGCUGGCGGCAGGCCUAACACAUGCAAGUCGAACGCCCCUUUCGGGGGGAGUGGCAGACGGGUGAGUAACACGUGGGAACGUGCCUUCUGGUUUGGGAUAACCCAGGGAAACUUGGGCUAAUACCGAAUACGCCCUUUACGGGGGAAAGAUUUAUUGCCGGAAGAUCGGCCCGCGUCUGAUUAGCUAGUUGGUGAGGUAAUGGCUCACCAAGGCGACGAUCAGUAGCUGGUCUGAGAGGAUGAUCAGCCACACUGGGACUGAGACACGGCCCAGACUCCUACGGGAGGCAGCAGUGGGGAAUCUUAGACAAUGGGGGCAACCCUGAUCUAGCCAUGCCGCGUGAGUGAUGAAGGCCUUAGGGUUGUAAAGCUCUUUCAGCUGGGAAGAUAAUGACGGUACCAGCAGAAGAAGCCCCGGCUAACUCCGUGCCAGCCGCCGCAGUAAGAC
rnacentral:rRNA from 1 species